rnacentral:tRNA from 2 species
CAGAGAGUUAGUCUAAUCAAGACA